UACGAAGGAUCCAAGCGUUAUCCGGAUUUAUUGGGUUUAAAGGGUGCGUAGGCGGGCGUAUUAAGUCAGUGGUGAAAGCCCCAAGCUUAACUUGGGAAUUGCCAUUGAUACUGAUGGUCUUGAGUACACUUGAGGUGGGCGGAAUGUGUCAGUGUAGCGGUGAAAUGCUUAGAUAUGACACAGAACACCGAUUGCGAAGGCAGCGUCA
rnacentral:rRNA from 1 species